GCGGAGGAAAAGAAACCAACAGGGAUUGCCUUAGUAACGGCGAGUGAAGCGGCAAUAGCUCAAAUUUGAAAGCUGGCCCCUUCGGGGUCCGCGUUGUAAUUUGUAGAGGAUGAUUCGGCGAGGGCUCCCGUCUAAGUCCCUUGGAACAGGGCGUCAUAGAGGGUGAGAAUCCCGUAUGUGAUGGGCUGCCUUAGCCAUGUGAAUCUCCUUCGACGAGUCGAGUUGUUUGGGAAUGCAGCUCUAAAUGGGAGGUAAAUUUCUUCUAAAGCUAAAUACCGGCCAGAGACCGAUAGCGCACAAGUAGAGUGAUCGAAAGAUGAAAAGCACUUUGGAAAGAGAGUUAAAAAGUACGUGAAAUUGUUGAAAGGGAAGCGCUUGCAGCCAGACUUGUCCGCAGUUGCUCAGCUUGUCUCCUGACAGGCGUACUCUUCUGCGGCCAGGCCAGCAUCAGUUCGGGCGGUCGGAUAAAGACCUGGGGAAUGUAGCUCCUCUCGGGGAGUGUUAUAGCCCUGGGUGCAAUGCGGCCAGCCUGGACUGAGGAUCUCGCUUCGGCUAGGAUGCUGGCGUAAUGGCUGUAAGCGGCCCGUCUUGAAACACGGACCAAGGAGUCUAACAUCUAUGCGAGUGUUUGGGUGUCAAACCCAUGCGCGUAAUGAAAGUGAACGGAGGUGGGAACCCUCACGGGUGCACCAUCGACCGAUCCUGAUGUCUUCGGAUGGAUUUGAGUAAGAGCAUAGCUGUUGGGACCCGAAAGAUGGUGAACUAUGCCUGAAUAGGGUGAAGCCAGAGGAAACUCUGGUGGAGGCUCGCAGCGGUUCUGACGUGCAAAUCGAUCGUCAAAUUUGGGUAUAGGGGCGAAAGACUAAUCGAACCAUCUAGUAGCU
rnacentral:rRNA from 1 species